UAAACUAGGAUUAGAUACCCUAUUAUUUAAAAUGUAAUUUUAAUCACUGAGGUAGUAGUAGUUAUGUUCUUGAAACUUAAAAAAUUUGGCGGUAUUUUAGUCUAUUCAGAGGAACCUGUCCUGUAAUUGAUAAUCCACGAUGUACCUUACUUAAAUUUGUUUUUCAGUUUAUAUACCGUCGUUAUCAGAAUAUUUUAUUAGAAUAAUAAUUUUCUAUAAUUUUUAUAAGAAUUUAUAUCAGAUCAAGGUGUAGCUUAUGUUUGAGUAGAGAUGGGUUACAAUAAAUUUAUUUAAACGGAUCUAAUUUUGAAAUGUUUAGUGAAGGUGGAUUUGAUAGUAAAAUUUUAAAGAUUGUAAAUUUGAUUUUAGCUCUAGAAUAUGCACACAUCGCCCGUCGCUCUUGCUAUUAAGGUAAGAUAAGUCGUAACAUAGUA
rnacentral:rRNA from 1 species